GAGGGCACGUCUGCCUGGGCGUCAUGCCUCGCGUCGCUCCGCGCACACCACGCCCCCUCCCUCCGAGGAGGGUAGGGCCGGCGUGCGUGUGCCGGAUGUGGUGAAUGGCCCCCCGUGCCCCUCCCCCCGGGGUGCGGUGGGCUGAAGAGCGUGCUGCCGAUGGAGGCGGGAUGCGAUGAGUGGUGGACCGAUCGGGUGCCGGGCCCGUGCGAGCCGGACGUCGCGCCUCCUGCCCCGAAAGGUGCAUGGCCCUUCGGGACCCCGACGGGGCGCCCACUGAGGCGCCCGCAAUGCGACCCCAGGUCAGGCGGGGCCACCCGCUGAGUUUAAGC
rnacentral:rRNA from 1 species